AGGACUGAGAUGGCUGAGGACAGGGGCUGACAGGCAUUCAUUAGGCCAGUCAUCCUGUCCACAUGCUUAUUGAGUGCU
rnacentral:pre_miRNA from 1 species